rnacentral:lncRNA from 1 species
UUGAAUUUCCAGCAGCUUUUAGAGAUUUUCCAACAGCUGGUCUUCUUCUUCUUCUCCUCUCUCACGUUUCUUCAAAACUCCAUGGAAGCUUGAUUUGAAGCUUGAAUGAUUUUCUCUCUCUAGCUCUAGUUUUCACACCUUUGAACCCUUUUGACUAGAACCUUUGAAUUCUUUCAUCCUCUUACUUGCAAACCCUUGAUAAAGCUUAUUUUCAGACUUUCUCUCACUAGUUGGGCAUUUUAGAGAGAGAAAAAGAGAAUUACUCCAUUGAUUUGGAAGCAAUUGGAAGAGAAUUUGACUACAAAG